CAGCCGUAAACUAUGCGCGUUAGGUGUAUCGGUGACCACGAGUCACCGAGGUGCCGAAGGGAAACCGUGAAACGUGCCGCCUGGGAAGUACGGUCGCAAGGCUGAAACUUAAAGGAAUUGGCGGGGGGAGGCACCACAACGGGUGGAGCCUGCGGGUUUAAUUUGGACUCAACGCCGGGAAGCUCACCGGAUAAGACAGCGGAAUGAUUGCCGGGGCUGAAGACUCUGCAUGACUAGCUGAGAGGUGGUGCAUGGCG
rnacentral:rRNA from 1 species